rnacentral:rRNA from 1 species
AUUGAACGCUGGCGGCAUGCCUUACACAUGCAAGUCGAACGGCAGCACGGGAGCUUGCUCCUGGUGGCGAGUGGCGAACGGGUGAGUAAUACAUCGGAACGUACCCUGAAGUGGGGGAUAACGUAGCGAAAGUUACGCUAAUACCGCAUAUUCUGUGAGCAGGAAAGAGGGGGAUCGCAAGACCUCUUGCUUUAGGAGCGGCCGAUGUCGGAUUAGCUAGUUGGUGAGGUAAAGGCUCACCAAGGCGACGAUCCGUAGCGGGUCUGAGAGGAUGAUCCGCCACACUGGGACUGAGACACGGCCCAGACUCCUACGGGAGGCAGCAGUGGGGAAUUUUGGGCAAUGGGCGCAAGCCUGAUCCAGCCAUGCCGCGUGAGUGAAGAAGGCCUUCGGUUGUAAAGCUCUUUCGGUGGGAAGAAAUUAGCUUCGGUUAAUAACCUGGAGUAGAUGACGGUACCGCAUAAGAAGACACCGGCUAACUACGUAGCCAGCAGCCGCGGU